rnacentral:lncRNA from 10 species
CACAGGGGUCUGAGGUUGAUCCCGGAGGCGCGAGGAGUCGGUGAACAAGCCGAGAUUCUUGUGGCGUGAUAGGACUUGUGGUCGCCACGAAGGGGCCAGCUCCAUCGGGAAUCUGUAAUCGCCCAGCAGUUUCCCCGCCCCGCGCAUGUGAAAUAUGUAGCCCUCCGUAUUCAUUCUAGAAACUUCUGGGAACCCAGCGCCUUGGGGAGAUAGAACCGAGCCAGAUGUUCCCCCGCUGCGAGGAACUCAGAACCUGCAUAAAUAGAGAAGGUGGCAGGCAUAUAGUAGGGAGACCAGUAAUUCCAUUGAGCGCUGAUUUUGGGCCAGGCACGAUACAAGCAUUAUCUCUGCAAAACAUCUUAUUCAUUCGUUCAGCAAACGUUUCUUGAACUCUCAGAAGGAUGAAGGAAGUUUACCCAGCUACCUAUCAGCCUCCUGUGUCUUAAGCAGAGUGGAGACGGGGGUGGAUCCAGGCGCACCAGUCAAAAGGAGCACAUCUUGA